rnacentral:rRNA from 1 species
AUGACAAGCACUUUGAAAAGAGGGUGAAAAGAGCCUGAAACCGUCACGGGGGAAGCGGAUCGCGUUGGAUUGAUGGGCGCUUGCGUGUUCAGCCCUUUUGGGUGCAUUGGCGCAAGUUGCUUAUCCGCUGUGGGUUUUCGGGGGUCGACUUUGGACCCCUGAGGACUGAGGGCUCCCUUUUACAGGUUGAGGACAGCGGAGUGACGACGCGAUACGACCCGUCUUGAAACACGGACCAAGGAGUCUAGCGCGGGUGCGAGUCGGAGGGUGCAAGCCCGUGGGCGAAGUGAAAGCGAGUGUAAAAACGAGCAGUUUGGGGCGGCAUAAGAUCGUUGAUCUUAAGACCGACCCAGAGCAGUUGCGCUGGGACCCGAAAGAUGGUGAACUAUGCCGGAGUAGGGCAAAGCCAGAGGAAACUCUGGUGGAGGCUCGUAGCGGUGCUGACGUGCAAAUCGCUCGUCGAACUUGGGUAUAGGGGCGAAAGACUAAUCGAACCAUCUAGUAGCUGGUUCCCUCCGAAGUUUCUCUCAGGAUAGCGGGCCGACAAGUUGUUUUGUGC